GGGGAAUGUUGGAGAGAGUAAAGGGGGGAAUAAAUGGUGACGAAAGAGACUUAGCUUGGGGUAAUGAACACACAGUACAAUAUACAGAUGAUGUAUUAUAGAAUUGUACACCUGAAACCGAUUUAGUUUUAUUA